CGCGUCGGAGAGGGUGAGAGCCCCGUGAACGACGCCGUCGACCCGGGCUGCCACUGCCUUCGGAGAGUCGGGUUGUUUGGGAAUGCAGCCCAAAGUGGGUGGUAGACUCCAUCUAAAGCUAAAUACUGGCACGAGACCGAUAGCGAACAAGUACCGUGAGGGAAAGGUGAAAAGUACUUUGAAAAGAGAGUCAAAAAGACCGCAAAACCGUUAGGAGGGAAACGAAUGCAGCUGAAGCGGCGCCUCGUCGGGCUCAGGGAGCCGGCGCGGGGUCCCGGCUGGCCGCGGAAGCCUUCUGGUUCCGCUGGUCUGGUCGGGGGCUCUCGCGUCGGCCCUGCACUUCCGCGAGGAGCCGGCCAACGGCGGUUGUCUUCGGCUCGGCGGGCGUCUGGGGAGGUGGCUCUGCGCUUGCGUGGGGACCGUACAGCCCGGACGCGCGGCAGUUCGGAGGCGACCGAGGAGAGCGUUGCGGUCCUUCGCACGCUGCGGUGCGGGCCGACUUCGGUCGGCUGCGGCCCCGCGUCGGGAGGUUUCCCGCUCGGAGUCACUGCGUGCAGUGCUUUGAGACGGCCGAGGCUUCCCGGUCGCGGCGGCACGACAACUCGCGCCGAGGUCGUUGGCGUCCGAAUGGCUGCAUCCGACCCGUCUUGAAACACGGACCAAGGAGUGCAACAUGCGCGCGAGUCUUUGGGUGGCAAACCCCUCGGCGCAGUGAAAGCGUAAGCGGGCUCGUCCCGCCGUGGCGAGAGCCUCGGACCUCCGGGCCGGGGGCGCAUCGUCGACCGAUCCCGUUCCACGCCGUGGUGGGAUUUGAGUGAGAGCGUGCCUGUUGCGACCCGAAAGAUGGUGAACUAUGCCUGAAUAGGGCGAAGCCAGGGGAAACCCUGGUGGAAGCCCGCAGCGAUUCUGACGUGCAAAUCGAUCGUCAAAUUUGGGUAUAGGGGCGAAAGACUA
rnacentral:rRNA from 1 species